rnacentral:lncRNA from 1 species
CUUUCAGAAACUGUCGAUCGAGGAGUCCUUGAUGGGGAGGAUAGUGUGCCUCUCCAUCGAGAAGAUUCAAUAACUACACUCCCUUGAUGAAGCUGAGGGAGAAUAUGCUGGUGCAAAUCAAGAGGUAGAAUCCAGAGGCUACACCAAUGUGGACUCAUCUGGCUCGGAGAAAUACUAAUAAAUAAUACCUGUAUCACAAAGAUCAUGGUCAUGACAUGGAGGAGUGCUUGCAGCUCUGAGACGAGAUCGAGGAGCUCAUCAGAUGUGGCUGUCUAGAUCAUUUUAUUCAGCGUAGGAGAGAGUAGGAGAACUGACAAAGAUCUCCACAGCCCCAGGAACAACCACCACC